GGAGGAGGAGGAGGAGGAGGAGGAGGAGGAGGAGGAAGGAAGAAGGAAGAAGAAGAAGAAGAAGAAGAAGAAGAAGAAGAAGAAGAAGAAGAAGAAGAAGAAGAAGAAGAAGAAGAAGAAGAAGAGAAAAAGAAAAAAAGAAAAAAAAAGAUAGUUGUAGUUGGUACAAUCAUCAAGGCACACACACAAAACCCACUGUAGAGUCGGUUGGUCUCUAGCUCUAUGUAGUUGGGGAUGACCACAAACUUCUGAUCUUCUUGAUUCCACCCCCUCCCAACGUUGGAAGUAGGAGCCUGCUUUACCAGGCCUGAGUUAUUCAGGCGGAACCCAUGGCGUCAUGCAUUCGAGAUACUUUCUGGAUGCUCCUGGUGCACAAUGAUAUACUACAUCUGCGAUGGAGUAUGAUUCAGAGACUCACGAGACACUUCAGCACACAAGCUCACCAACUCGGUGAUUCUGGCUCCCUUAACUCUUGGGUAUCAACACAACAAAACAGAGAUUAAAAACAAAGUUAACCCCCCCACACACACAUAGAAAUGAACAUAAAAUCUACACAAAAAAUUAAGAGAAAAAAAUGAAUUGCCAAAAAGUAUAGAAUAGAAAGCAGGUUAGAAGUUCAGUGUGGAACCAGAUUUCAUCACCUGGAAACGGUGAAAGCUAAUUGUUUCACUACCAAGUGUUACCUUCUACAAUGGAUUACUAUGCAGCUGUAAAUAAGAACAGAGGCCAUGUGUACGACCCAUGUACUGCAGUUCCUGUGGAGGCCAGAAGAGGACCUCAGAGGCAGGCAGAUCUCCAGGAUCCAGGCCAGCCAGAGCUGCUAUAAGGUGAGGCUUCAGUCCGCAGAGUGGAAAGGCAUGGUAGGAGCACGAGGCAGCUGGUCAUGUGGUACUCACAGUGAGGAAGCAUUGGGAGAUGAAGGCUGGUGCUCAGCCUCUCCUUUUUACUCAGCUCAGGACCCCCAUCCCUCGAAUGGCGCCACCCACAUUUCCCUGUUCAGUGAAAAGCAUUCUGAGACACCUUCACGGACAUACUCGGGGAUGUGUCUCCUAGGUGGCUGCAAAUCUAAUCAAGUCGACAGUGAGGAAGAAGCACUACCCACCACCGUGAAUACCUGUCAGCCAGUGGGUCACAGGUGUGAGUCACUGAGCAGGAAAAGGAUGCUUGUGAAGCCGUGCAAAGAUGGGGCUGGAACGGUGGAUUGCUGGUUAAGAGCACUGGUGUUCUUGCAGAGGCCCUGAGCAUUUCCAGUGUCUACAUCACGUGACUCCCAGCUGCCUGGACCUCCAGAUCUAGAGGACCAGAACAAGAGGACCAGAACAAGACUGGCUCUAAUAUUGAAUUGAAUUUAGAAGAUUACCCCUCAUAUUGUAAAACCAAGUAGUCAGACACAAGUAACAAAAGAUACCUGUGGUUUUAUGUUCAUUUUGAGACGGGUUCCCAAGUAGUCCAGACUGGCCUUGAACUCACUGUGUGGCUGAGAAUGGCUUUGAAUUUCUUGUUUUCCUGCCUCUUUCUCCCAAGUGCUGCGAUCACAGACAUGUAGCGGCACACCCCGUUUAUGGAGAGCUGGAGAUUAGAUCCAGGGCCUUGUGUAUGCUAGGUAAGCACUCUACCAAGUGAGUCACGUCCCCAGCCCAAGACAUCUGGUUUGAACCAGAUCUUUUCAUUAGGUUAAGCAGGAAGGCAGCUUGCAACACAUGCAUGGGAAGUGUGCCAUCUUGGUUUAAUGAGUGGGUUUCUGCGGAUUGUUGAAACACUUCAACUUCCUUAACCCAGUAUCUGAUGAAGGAGCAAGGAUAGAGAAAUUAAUUUACCACACACUAAUUAAAGGGGGGUGCGCACUGUAUACACAGUGAAAGUCUCUGGAAUAAAUAUUUGAUAAACAGUAUCUGGCAAAUUAAAAACCCGAAAUGUUAAAUUAAAUGCAAA
rnacentral:lncRNA from 1 species